UUUGAUCAUGGCUCAGAACGAACGCUGGCGGCAGGCCUAACACAUGCAAGUCGAGCGCACUUCGGGUGAGCGGCGGACGGGUUAGUAACGCGUGGGAACGUGCCCUUUUCUACGGAAUAGCCUCGGGAAACUGAGAGUAAUACCGUAUACGCUUCGGGGGAAAGAUUUAUCGGAGAAGGAUCGGCCCGCGUUGGAUUAGGUAGUUGGUGGGGUAAUGGCCUACCAAGCCGACGAUCCAUAGCUGGUUUGAGAGGAUGAUCAGCAACACUGGGACUGAGACACGGCCCAGACUCCUACGGGAGGCAGCAGUGGGGAAUCUUAGACAAUGGGGGAAACCCUGAUCUAGCCAUGCCGCGUGAGUGACGAAGGCCUUAGGGUCGUAAAGCUCUUUCAGCUGUGAAGAUAAUGACGGUAGCAGCAGAAGAAACCCCGGCUAACUCCGUGCCAGCAGCCGCGGUAAUACGGAGGGGGUUAGCGUUGUUCGGAAUUACUGGGCGUAAAGCGCGCGUAGGCGGACUAUUAAGUCAGAGGUGAAAUCCCAGGGCUCAACCCUGGAACUGCCUUUGAUACUGGUAGUCUUGAGUUCGAGAGAGGUGAGUGGAAUUCCGAGUGUAGAGGUGAAAUUCGUAGAUAUUCGGAGGAACACCAGUGGCGAAGGCGGCUCACUGGCUCGAUACUGACGCUGAGGUGCGAAA
rnacentral:rRNA from 1 species